GGUGUCCUGAGAUUCCAGCGAAAUUCUGGUCGCUGGAAGCCAGCCGCGCCGUUCCCAUCCAUUAGCAGGACUCCGGAAGUCGUUAGUGCUGGCAAGCCGAAGCCAACCGGAAGUCGGGAAUCGUGAGUCUCAGAAGCCCCAUUCCCGUCUCUGCAGGGGAAGCCAGAAUGGGACUGGAACUCGGUAAUGCUGGCAACCUGAAGCCAAGCGGAAGGAGGGAGCACUGGAACUUGAAAGCGAAAUUCCCGACUCUAUUUCCCCGCGAUCCCCGAUACGGAAUCGGUCUGCCGGACCGGAAGUCUGUUGUGCUGGCGAGCUGAAGCCAACCGGAAGUCGGGCUGCUGAGACUCUCCUGCGAAACUCCAAUCACGAAACAGCGCAUGUUGCCCCGGGUCGAAACCGGAAGCCGGUAGUUCUGGCAAGCUGAAGCCAACCGGAAGUGGGGCGUACUGAGCCUCACACUUCUCUCAGGGAAACCACCAGGACAGCAGAGGUUCUGGGCGCGCGCCAUUCCUGGAAUUGAUGAGAUGUCUCUGGUCCUAAUAAACUGAGAGGCCAAUGGUUAAAAAA